AACGAGAAAGUGGAGCAAUCCAUGAGUAAAGUGGCGACCGGGUGAGUAACACGUGACUAACCUACCUUUCAGUGGGGAAUAACCUCGGGAAACCGGGGCUAAUACCGCAUAACGUCUACGGACCAAAGGAGCAAUUCGCUGGAAGAGGGGGUCGCGGCCGAUUAGCUAGUUGGCGGGGUAACGGCCCACCAAGGCAAUGAUCAGUAGCCGGCCUGAGAGGGCACACGGCCACACUGGCACUGAAACACGGGCCAGACUCCUACGGGAGGCAGCAGUGGGGAAUCUUGCACAAUGGGGGAAACCCUGAUGCAGCGACGCCGCGUGAGCGAUGAAGCCCUUCGGGGUGUAAAGCUCUUUCGGCAGGGAAGAUUAUGACGGUACCUGCAGAAGCAGCUGCGGCUAACUACGUGCCAGCAGCCGCGGUAAUACGUAGGCAGCAAGCGUUGUUCGGAGUUACUGGGCGUAAAGGGUGUGUAGGCGGUUGGAUAAGUGUGGUGUGAAAUCUCCCGGCUUAACUGGGAGGGUGCGCUACAAACUGUCUGACUAGAGUAUGGGAUGGGAGAGUGGAAUUCCUGGUGUAGCGGUGAAAUGCGUAGAUAUCAGGAGGAACACCGGUGGUGUAGACGGCUCUCUGGACCAUUACUGACGCUGAGACACGAAAGCGUGGGUAGCAAACAGGAUUAGAUACCCUGGUAGUCCUAGCCCUAAACGAUGGAAUACUUGGUGUGACCGGGAUUGAAUCCGGUCGUGCCGAAGCUAACGCAUUAAGUAUCCCGGCCUGGGGAGUACGG
rnacentral:rRNA from 1 species